CAAGCGAGGCCCCGUGUUCGGCCCGCGUCGUAUAAUUGGACCGGGCUCACUCACACGACACGCACGCGGCCUGGCCACACCGCACCACACCCUGGUGACACCACCACUGGCCCCUCAGGCGUCAGAUUCGGUGGCUGCCACGAACUCGCCGGCGCGGCGGCCACCUCACGCCAUCAGAUCGGCUGGGCGCCGUCCGCCGAACUGCCGAGGUCAGGUCGCAACGUGCCACAAGGCGGCGUAACGUGACACGACCCGAGGGGCCCCGAGGCUGCUCAUCGUCGCACCCACCGGGCUGACGCGGCGGAGGAGCGGCAGCCCCGUCCCCGUCGGCUCAGUCCUGCACCUAGGGCUAGCGGGAGGCCGGGAGCUCGCGUUUUCGAAGGGCUGCUGGUCUCUAAUCCACGGCGAGAAUGCUGCCACGAACCUACACUCCUGCACAGUCAGUGGUCAGACUCAGACCGUAUGGAUUCCUGAUCCUUGGGUUUUUUUCUUCCAAAAGUUAUAUGCUUGGAUCCAUUUUAGUAAGACUGCAUCUGCAUGCUGCUGUGUUCAGAUUGCUCUUGGUGAUUCAGUGAUGCAAUUCUGAAUUUCAGUAAACAUGUGAGGAAUGGACCCAUUUUUCAGGUCCUCUCUGCCUCAGUGGCGCCUGUAAACCGGAUCAAUGGAGAUAAAGAGAAGCAUAUAUUGUCCCCAACAUUUGUCCCUGGAGAUAAUUCUGAUCUUGUGCUGGAUGUCAUCAUAUAACCAAGGGACUUGCAGUGUCAGCACUGCAAGUCUUUAGAUAGCUCUGGUAGCUUUCAGGUGUUUCACUUCAUAAAUCUUUUGAUGUUACUUACCAAAAAAAUUCAGGUAAUAGUUCUCUUUCACCGGAUUUAUGGAUUUUUUUUGCUUGUAAUCUUUUUGUUAAAAAUAAAAUAAAUGAUAUAAUAAUGUUUACUAUCCUUGUUUUGU